rnacentral:rRNA from 1 species
AGAGUUUGAUCCUGGCUCAGAACGAACGCUGGCGGCGUGGAUAAGACAUGCAAGUCGAACGGGGCUGGUUUGGUAGCAAUACCGGGCUAGCUUAGUGGCGAACGGGUGCGUAACACGUGACCAACUUUCCCAAAAGUGGGGAAUAGCUCGCCGAAAGGCGGAUUAAUACCGCAUGUACCUCGAAGCAAUUUGAGGCAAAG